rnacentral:rRNA from 1 species
UACGGAGGGAGCUAGCGUUGUUCGGAAUUACUGGGCGUAAAGCGCACGUAGGCGGCUUUGUAAGUUAGAGGUGAAAGCCCGGGGCUCAACUCCGGAACUGCCUUUAAGACUGCAUCGCUUGAAUCCAGGAGAGGUGAGUGGAAUUCCGAGUGUAGAGGUGAAAUUCGUAGAUAUUGGGUGGAACACCGGUGGCGAAAGCGGCUCACUGGCCCGGUUCUGACGCUGAGGCGCGAAAGCGUGGGGAGCAAACAGG